GUUGGGUCGGAUAUAUUAGUUACAGAUCGUGAAUGCGGCUUCUUCCUACAAGAAUGUUAUCUUAUACUAUAUAAAUCAUAUACUGUGACCCUGGAGGAAAUAUGUUUGUGCUAGAAAUGAUUAUACGUAUACAACGUUUAUAAAAACCUGGAAAUGUAUUCAGGUACAAGCACUGGGCUGGCUUGGGACGUCUUAGGGGGUAAGGACACAUCCAGGUGGUUUUGGUUUCAGUCUUGGCUUGACUAAUUAAAGGCUGCAGACAUGUCCAGAUUAUUCCUGCUUCUGACACUUUUCAUUUCACCAUGCGUGGCCUUCCUGAAAAGUGAAAGCAAUAUCAUCCCUCUUCCGGAGUUCCACGAAUGCAUACGAAAUCGACUUGAGGCGUCCAGGUCCAUGUGGUGCUGGACUGAAGAGUGUGAGGGGAGUAAAAGUAAGGACACCGUGGUUCCGUGUCUGACGCAGCUGUACGACGACGUUUACAGCGGCUCCUGUGAGUCAAGCUCAGCCCCCAUAUUUUACACGCCAUUUUUACCACGUGGUACACGUUUUAUUCUACAUUUUUCUACAUUAGACACUCUUAACCUGUUCAGCGUUAGUCUUCUCCUCCACCAUCACCUUUCACCCAUCGGUGCUUCUCCUGGCUCCACCCCACCCAGCUCUGUAUCAUUCUUUUUUUUUUUCACAGCUUAUCACAAAAGAGGGGAUUCUCGUGUCAGAGAAACUGUACACUGUGCAAUUCAGAGGUGUGCCGACGGACUGCUGGACCUGAACUCUCGAGGCUGGGGGGACAUGCUUCACUCCUGUCUGAAGUCGAUGGAGACCUGUCAGCACCCGGCCAGAAGAAACGAGUUGUGACGGGAACCCGCGUCAUUCCCGCCUGUCGCCACUGGGAGGCAGCGUUCUUCUCUCUUACCGAACAUGACACUUCAUUCUAUUACACUUCACUUUAAACACGUCAAAUAAUAAUCAUUUUUAUGGGUCAUUCAUUACUAUUCAUUUUCAGAAGAAUGUUUUUUUUCCAUCUCUGUACUGUCGUUGUAACUCUACAAUAAAACCGAUUGUGGACCAAAAUGAAAGUUUGGU
rnacentral:lncRNA from 1 species